rnacentral:snRNA from 1 species
GUGCUCACUUCAGCAGCACAUAUACUAAAAAUGGAACAAUACAGAGGAGAUUAGCAUGGCCCCUGUGCAAGGAUGACAUGCAAAUUCGUGAAGGGUUACUUAUUUUU